GUAACCUGGGGACCUGAUACCUGCUUCCGACAUCUGAACUGAGGACAAUUUUGUGGGACUGAGCUUCUAAACCUGUGGAGUUUGAAGCUAACUCUGUGUACUUAGCGUCAAAAUUAUAAUGUACUUUUUUGGUACUUUUUAGCAUUUAUUUAUCUUUGAUUAUUUGCUAGGACUUUUAAAAUUAUUAUUUCACAUACUUUUACAAUUAUUCUAUGAAAUUUACAUAUAUAUAUGAAAUAUAUAUUAUAUUAAAUCUUGUCCAUAUAUUAAAGAUUGUAAGAACAGAGCCAAAAAAGAUUUAGGCACAUUACUGCCUGGUGCUUACAUAUGGAUAGAAAUUGUGGAUCAUAGAAAAAUGUUAAGUUUCAUAUUUUAUUCUGUCCCAAGGGGAGGGAGAUGUUUUUGUCCUUUUUUUUUUUUUUUUUUUUUUUGGUCAGUGUCACCUAGGUAAUAUAUUUUACAUAAGAAUAAAUGAACUGGAGAACAACUAACAUCUAUUUACUGAGACUGAGAGAUGCUGCAACACAGAUGUGAGGCUGAAGCACAUUCCUUCAUCUUGGAGACCAAGACAGACCAAAUGAGAAGGUUGAUUUUCAGAGCCCCUCAAUACUUCAGUGUGUGCUUAUGAGGCUGGACUCUCCAGCUGCAUAUCUAUCAGGAGUGGCUGGGGAGGUAAGUGUCAUGUUUUCACCAUGAUUCUUUACUGAUCUAUCCUGUGAGGUUUGGUUUCUCUGCUUUUAUAUAUGGCAGGAUAAAUUGGGAUAAAUCCUGAUAUUUUCUUUGUAAACAUGUACAAUUUUCUGUGCAAUCUCCCAGGGGAGCCAAUCACCUUUAAAAACCAAAUAAGAACAACCACUCUUACUACGGCCAUGUCUAAAUUAUGAUGUAAUAGCACAUGGAAAGUUCUAGAUUGAUACUAAAGAAGAAAAUGAUCCUUAAAUGUACCCAGUUUUUCAAACUUUUUGUUACUUGUUCCACACACAUGCCUAGCCCCUUCUCCAACUAGCUACUAUUUAUUUCACAUGUAACCACAUUCCAGCACCUUACUUAAUCCCUUUAGAUUUGUAGUUUAAUUCCACCCUUCCCAUGGUCUUAAAAUUAUCCUCAUGAUACAGAUAGUCAAACAGAAGCUGAGAGGUUGAGUAAUGUGCUUUUUAUCAUAAAGCUAGUAAUAAAGUCUUAACAUUCAUCUUUCUAUCUCA
rnacentral:lncRNA from 1 species